AAAGGGAGACCUAAUUCAGGUAAAAGACGAAAAAAAAGUAGUCGCUACCAAGAAUCAAUCCCAAAAGGUCGGAGCGAGGCGAAAUUGGCUUUCAAACUAGGUUCUGGGUUCAAACAAGACCUGUAUCAGGAACAAGGGCUAUUAGCUCAGGUGGUUAGAGCGCACCCCUGAUAAGGGUGAGGUCCCUGGUUCGAGUCCAGGAUGGCCCACCUGCACAGGUGGCAAAAACAAGAGAAGCGAGGAAUCAGCACCUUAUCUUACUUAUAUAGUAAGAGAGAAUGCUGGCUCUGAGUAAAGAGUCCAGAGGAACCUUGAAAACUGCAUAGAGCUAGGUGAAAAAGCCAAAAAAGAAGACCGCAAG
rnacentral:tRNA from 1 species